rnacentral:rRNA from 1 species
GAUGAACGCUGGCGGCGUGCUUAACACAUGCAAGUCGAACGGAAAGGCACUGCUUGCAGGGUACUCGAGUGGCGAACGGGCGAGCAACACGUGGGUGAUCUGCCCUGUACUUUGGGAUAAGCCUGGGAAAAUGGGUCUAAUACCGAAUAUGACAAACGUUUGGCUGCGAUAGUGGAAAGCUUUUGCGGUAUGGGAUGAGCUCGCGGCCUAUCAGCUUGUUGGUGGGGUAAUGGCCUACCAAGGCGUCGACGGGUAGCCGGCCUGAGAGGGUGUACGGCCACAUUAGGACUGAGAGACGGCCCAGACUCCUGCGUGAGGCAGCAGUGGGGAAUAUUGCACAAUGGGCGCAAGCCUGAUGCAGCGACGCCGCGUGGGGGAUGACGGCCUUCGUGUGGUAAGCUCCUUUCGCAACCGACGAAGCCUUUUUGUGACGGUAGGUUGAGAAGAAGCACCGGCUAACUACGUG